rnacentral:rRNA from 1 species
GUCCACGCCCUAAACGAUGGAUGCUAGACGUAAGAGGUAUCGACCCCUCUUGUGUCGCAGCUAACGCACUAAGCAUCCCGCCUGGGGACUACGGCCGCAAGGUUGAAACUCAAAUGAAUUGACGGGGACCCGCACAAGCGGUGGAGCAUGUGGAUUAAUUCGAUACUAACCGAAGAACCUUACCCAGGUUUGACAUCGAGAGUAAGACCAUGAAAGUGGUUCCUCUCCCACAAGGAGACUCAAAGACAGAUGUUGCAUGGCUGUCGU